UCUUAACCAAACUAAGAAGCCUGCGAUGAGAGGGAAGGUCCUCAUGGAUUAGUAAGUGGUUAAAACAGGAAACAAAGGGAAGGAAUAAAUGGUCAGUUUUCAGAAUGGAGAGAGGUAAAUAGUGGUAUCCCCCAGGGAUCUGUACUGGGACCAGUGCUAUUCAAUUUAUUCAUAC